rnacentral:rRNA from 1 species
GACGAACGCUGGCGGCGUGCUUAACACAUGCAAGUCGAACGGAAAGGCCCUGCUUUUGUGGGGUGCUCGAGUGGCGAACGGGUGAUUAACACGUGAGUAACCUGCCCUUGACUUUGGGAUAACUUCAGGAAACUGGGGCUAAUACCGGAUAGGAGCUCCUGCUGCAUGGUGGGGGUGGGAAAGUUUCGGCGGUUGGGGAUGGACUCGCGGCUUAUCAGCUUGUUGGUGGGGUAGUGGCUUACCAAGGCUUUGACGGGUAGCCGGCCUGAGAGGGUGACCGGCCCCAUUGGGACUGAGAUACGACACAGCCCAGUCCGGGAGGCAGCGGAGGGGAGUAUUGCACAAGGGGCGGAAGGCUGACGUAGUCCCGCCGCGUGCGGGAUGACGGGAAUGGGGUUGUAAACCGCUUUCGCCUGUGACGAAGAGUGAGUGACGGUAAUGGGUAAAGAAGCACCGGCUAACUACGUG